AAUUCUUUUUAUUUUUUUCAUUUGUCAUUUUCUGAUUUGGUUUCCUGAGAGGUUUUAUAUGAUAUUGCUCAUAAUCAUUUUAUCUUUCUUUUCUGUAUUGCCUAUCAAUUUGAUGCCUUUUAUUGUUGAAACCCAAUUGAUUUGUCUUUAGAUUCAGCUACUGAUAUUGAACAAGAUCAACUUACAUUUCAUGUUGAUUUCCCGCCAUAAUUGAUCCACCAGCCUCAUGGUGUAUGGAAUUGGAAUUCCAUCAUUUUUUUUUUGCUUUCUUUUAUGAUGAUUAUUUUCCCUUUUCAAUUCUUUUGCUGUGUUUUGUUUAAUGUGAUUGGGUGAUUAGAUGGAAGCCAGCUGCAUCAAAUUAUAUUGCCAUUGAU
rnacentral:misc_RNA from 1 species